rnacentral:rRNA from 1 species
AUUGAACGCUGGCGGCAGGCCUAACACAUGCAAGUCGAGCGGUAACACAGAGGAGCUUGCUCCUUGGGUGACGAGCGGCGGACGGGUGAGUAAUGCCUGGGGAUCUGCCCGAUAGAGGGGGAUAACUACGGGAAACUGUAGCUAAUACCGCAUAAUGUCUACGGACCAAAGUGGGGGCUCUUCGGACCUCAUGCUAUCGGAUGAACCCAGGUGGGAUUAGCUAGUUGGUGAGGUAAUGGCUCACCAAGGCGACGAUCUCUAACUGGUUUGAGAGAAUGACCAGUCACACUGGAACUGAGACACGGUCCAGACUCCUACGGGAGGCAGCAGUGGGGAAUAUUGCACAAUGGGCGCAAGCCUGAUGCAGCCAUGCCGCGUGUGUGAAGAAGGCCUUCGGGUUGUAAAGCACUUUCAGCGGGGAGGAAGGGCUACUAGUUAAUACCUAGUGACAUUGACGUUACUCGCAGAAGAAGCACCGGCUAACUCCGUGCCAGCAGCCGCCGUAA